AGUGAACGCUGGCGGCGUGCUUAACACAUGCAAGUCGAACGAGAACGGAUUAUAGCUUGCUAUAAUUGUCAGCUAAGUGGCGCACGGGUGAGUAAUGUAUAGGUAAUAUGCCUCAUACUAAGGGAUAACAAAUGGAAAUGUUUGCUAAUACCUUAUACUCCUUAUUAACAGAAGUUAAUAAGGGAAAGAUUUAUUGGUAAGAGAUUAGCCUGUAUUGUAUCAGUUAGUUGGUGGGGUAAUGGCUUACCAAGACUAUGACACAUAACUGGUUUGAGAGGAUGAACAGUCACACUGGAACUGAGACACGGGCCAGACUCCUACGGGAGGCAGCAGUGGGGAAUAUUGAACAAUGGUCGAAAGUCUGAUGCAGCAACGCCGCGUGGAGGAUGACACAUUUCGGUGCGUAAACUCCUUUUAUAUGAGAAGAUAAUGACGGUAUUAUAUGAAUAAGCACCGGCUAACUCCGUGCCAGCCGCCGCCGUAA
rnacentral:rRNA from 1 species